UUUUUUUUUUUUUUUUUCUCAGAAGUUACCCUCAACCCGUGAGGGAACAUCUCAAUUAUGGAAUUUGUAAUGGGAAAAAAAUCCUAAUAAAAUAUAUUGCUUAAUCUCCUUAUUUUAUAUAGUAAGAAAUUGAGAUGAAGAAAGGGCAAGGGCUUGUCCAAGAGCCAAUUAGAGUCAGGGGUGUGACUGGAAAGGGAGUCAUCUGGGGGUAUCAGUGUCAAGAUGCACAGGGACAUCAGCAGCAUGAGGCUGAAAUGGCUGGGAUGUCGUUGAAAUUUUGUGCUGAGAUUUUCAAAUUUCAAGCAUUUAAGGGGGGAGGUUCCUGUCCAAUCUGUAAACCAGGCAGUCCUGCAGUAAAAUAGCCAUUUCCACUCAUUCAGAAUGGUGAAGGGCAACAAAGAAGUAUAUAUAUUUUGGAAGGAAAGUCAUGGCUAAAACGUCACCCUUUCCAUGAACCUUGUUGGCCAUGCUACUAAGGUGUUCCCGAUGGCUCUAUACUGUCUGGCACCCAGAACACUGAUUUAGGUCCUUGCUUAUUUUUGCUCCUCUGGCCUCCACCCUGCAGUUCUUCGGGGCUGACUUCACCACUGUGUACCUAGAGCCUAAUUAGCACCUGGUUCAGAGCCGCACUGGGUACCUGAGUGGGCGCAGCCAAGUCCAGCCGGUAAGCAGGAGGAGCGGCGACAAGAGGGCUGCAGGUCCUCCGACGGGCACUGAGGACCUGCAGACAAAGAGGCAGAGCCCCCUCUGGGAUGCUGGCUGGCAGUUGAGAAGACGUUAGACCCCAAGGAGGCUUAGACACGUGCAGAGGGAAGGGGGGCAGUUAGGAGCCUGUCCUUAGAGGCCCGCGGGCCGAGCUCUUCCUGAGGCAUUGGGGCAGCAGGUGACCACAGCGGUGCUGCCCAGCUUGGUCUGUGUAUAGCACGAGAAUAAAAGUGUUCCUGAAACACCCAAAUCCUUUCCUCCAGUCUUUGCGUGGCCCCUAGCCAGGCUCCGCAGUCUCCCCCUCCCACUCCCUGCCUGGCUGCAUGAGCUCACCACGACCAGAGGAAGAAGCCAGGAGGGUCAGCAGGAGUCCAGCCGUAGCCUGACGUCCCCCAGGCGCCUCUGCCACCCGCCUUCUGCUGCAGGAACUAGAAAAACCAACCGGCGCUGGUGACCAUUCAGAAAGUUAUCUGGGGAGAUCCUUAAAGGCAGCAUGCCGAGUCUGAGAAAGGGAAAUUCCAGGCCAGGCCACUAGGGAAAAAGUUCAUAUACACUUUCCCCCCCAAAAAAGGACUUAAGGGUUGCAAGCACGCCUAGGGCAGGAGGUACAUCCGCUGUGGGAGUCGCCUACCCCGGCCCCAGCCCACUAAGCUCUGGCAUCUCGCCCGGGGAACAGCCUCAGCUUUGCCAGCGUCUGACCCCCUGAGCCCAGAUACUUUGGCUUCACCCAUGUCCAACGGCAUUUAUUCCCCAAAUCAGCUCCUACAAGGAUAAACUAAACCUGUGGCAAAACAGAGAGGUGACAAUUUGCAAAUAGCUGCGGGGGACUGAGGCUCGGGAGUUGCUGCAAAUAUGUAGACAACUGGGCGCCGUAUGACUGCACGGAGAGCCACAGCACCUUAGCUGGACGGAGAGAGUGAGGUUGGGGUGAGACUGGCUUUGGAACACAAAAUUACCUCACUCCUGGGGACGGUUAACCUCCAAGGCUGUUACACCCAUCCCGGGCACUGCGCUAAUCCAUACCACACGUCUGCAGAACUGGGCUGAGCUUGGCCAGGGUCUUUGUGCUCGUCUUAUUAAUGAUGUCGGAUGAGUUAGGCCAAUAUUCAAGUAAAGAGGACUGUCUUCCCCAUUUGAGGGACCCAUCCUGUUUCCAGACUCUUUGUUAAACGUUUUUUCUUUUUCUUUUUCUUUUUUUUUCUGUGGGUUUAUCUUAGGAAGAGAUUUUAGUGGAAACCUAUAGUAUAUCUGACAGAUGCCUUGUUUAGGGAACAGUCUUGCAAUCUCCCCCUCCCCAUCUAGUUUCUGCAGGACUUGCCAUACCUCAACCUGCCCUCUGACACUGGCUACGGUUGAUGGAUCCGGGUGUAGAAACCUGAUCCAAA
rnacentral:lncRNA from 1 species